rnacentral:rRNA from 1 species
AUUGAACGCUGGCGGCAGGCCUAACACAUGCAAGUCGAACGAGUGGCGGACGGGUGAGUAAUGUCUGGGAAACUGCCUGAUGGAGGGGGAUAACUACUGGAAACGGUAGCUAAUACCGCCUACCCUCCGAUGUGCCCAGAUGGGAUUAGCUUGUUGGUGGGGUAACGGCUCACCAAGGCGAAGAUCCCUCGCUGGUCUGAGAGGAUGACGAGCCACACGGGAACUGAGACACGGGCCAGCCUCCUACGGGAGGCAGCAGGGGGGAAUAUUGCACAAGGGGCGCAAGCCUGCUGAAGCCAUGCCGCUGGGAGGAAGAAGGCCUUCGGGUUGAAAAGUACUUUCAGCGGGGAGGCGUUACCCGCAGAAGAAGCACCGGCUAACUCCGUGCCAGCAGCCGCGGUAAUUC